GUGCAGCAGGCGAGAAUUUUUCUCAAUGGGGGAAACCCUGAAGGAGCGACGCCGCGUGAAGGAUGAAGGUCUUCGGAUUGUAAACUUCUGUCAUUAGGGAACAAAUCUUCCAAGUAACUACUGGAAGUCUGAUAGUACCUGAAGAGGAAGAGACGGCUAACUCUGUGCCAGCAGCCGCGGUAAUACAGAGGUCUCAACCGUUGUUCGGAUUCAUUGGGCGUAAAGGGUGCGUAGGCGGCGGAGUAAGUCAGGUGUGAAAUCUCGGGGCUCAACCCCGAAACUGCACUUGAUACUGCUUCGCUUGAGUACUGGAGAGGAGACUGGAAUUUACGGUGUAGCAGUGAAAUGCGUAGAUAUCGUAAGGAAGACCAGUGGCGAAGGCGAGUCUCUGGACAGUUAUUGACGCUGAGGCACGAAGGCCAGGGGAGCAAACGGGAUUAGAUA
rnacentral:rRNA from 1 species